rnacentral:rRNA from 1 species
UACGGAGGAUGCGAGCGUUAUCCGGAUUUAUUGGGUUUAAAGGGUGCGUAGGCGGGCUUUUAAGUCAGCGGUAAAAAUUCGGGGCUCAACCCCGUCUGGCCGUUGAAACUGGGGGUCUUGAGUGGGCGAGAAGAAGGCGGAAUGCGUGGUGUAGCGGUGAAAUGCAUAGAUAUCACGCAGAACCCCGAUUGCGAAGGCAGCCUUCCGGCGCCCUACUGACGCUGAGGCACGAAAGUGCGGGGAUCGAACAGG